GUCCACGCCGUAAACGAUGUCUACUAGCCGUUGGGGAACUUGAUUCUUUAGUGGCGCAGCUAACGCACUAAGUAGACCGCCUGGGGAGUACGGUCGCAAGAUUAAAACUCAAAUGAAUUGACGGGGGCCCGCACAAGCGGUGGAGCAUGUGGUUUAAUUCGAUGCAACGCGAAGAACCUUACCUGGUCUUGACAUCCUGCGAACUUUCUAGAGAUAGAUUGGUGCCUUCGGGAACGCAGUGACAGGUGCUGCAUGGCU
rnacentral:rRNA from 1 species